UUCAAGUCUUAAAGGAGGACUUUCUUAUUAGUUAUAGAUUUCUAGAAUCUAAUUUUAAAAUAGUUACUGCGUGAAAGUCUAUGGGAUACCUCAAUUAUUCUCUUUGAGCAAAUUAUCAGGAUUUUCUUGCUUUUUAGCAUUUUGUUAAUGAGAUCAGAAAGCUUAAAUGGAUUUCUUUUAGAGUCAAUGAUAAACCUGAGAUAAUUGAUUGUGGGCUAAUAUUUCAUGCUGUUGUUGUUCACUUAUUAAGCAAACUGUUGAGAGGUAUAUAUAAUUCAGCAUUUGUUAAAUUAUGACGGAAAAAUGGAGUCACUAGAGGAGCUUAUGAAAAUUCUCUCUUUCUUUUUAGACCUCCAGGAUUACCUCGUCGAAGAAUGGGCCGAAUAAGUCAUUUUGGUGGUCCAAGCCCCCCACCAAUGGCCGGAGGUGGAUGAGGAAGGUAAAUGCCUCCUUCAAAAAGGAGGCAGCCAGACAUACACAUUUGCAAGAUGGGAAUGACCUGCUGAGGGAUGAACUGAUGGGGGCCUGUGGGUUGCAAUUGUGUUGUCUGAAAGAUUCCCUGCUCUGCCAAUUGGCAGAACCAUGACGUUGUCCUGGGAAUUCCUUGUUCUGGGAUCCAGGGCAACUGAAAAGCAGUUCUGUUAAAUUAAAUGCAUCUCUGUACUGCCUUUUUGUAUAGCUUGUGAUUAUUUUGUUGUCGUUGUAGAGUUCCUGGGAAAAUAUAUGGCUUUGCAAAA